rnacentral:rRNA from 1 species
CUCAGGAUGAACGCUAGCGGCAGGCUUAAUACAUGCAAGUCGUGGGGCAGUCAUGAGUAGCAAUACUUGAUGGCGACCGGCAAACGGGUGAGGAACACGUACACAACCUUCCUUCAAGCGGGGAAAUAGCCCAGUAGAAAUUUGGAUUAAUACCCCAUAAUAUAUUUGAUAAGGCAUCUUAUUAAUAUUAAAGCUUCGGCACUUGAUGAUGGGUGUGCGGCUGAUUAGAUAGUUGGCGGGGUAACGGCCCACCAAGUCUACGAUCAGUAGCUGAUGUGAGAGCAUGAUCAGCCACACGGGCACUGAGACACGGGCCCGACUCCUACGGGAGGCAGCAGUAAGGAAUAUUGGACAAUGGACGAAAGUCUGAUCCAGCCAUGCCCGCGUGAAGGAUUAAGGUCCUCUGGAUUGUAAACUUCUUUUAUAUGGGACGAAAAAGGGCAUUCUUGUUCACUUGACGGUACCAUAUGAAUAAGCACCGGCUAACUCCGUG